AACGCACAUUGCGCCCCCUGGCAUUCCGGGGGGCAUGCCUGUUCGAGCGUCAUUACAACCCCUCAAGCUCAGCUUGGUAAUGGGCCGUCGCCUCCGGUCUACCGGAGGCGUGCCCCAAAACAGUCGGCAGGACCACGCGGACCGCCGGGCGUAGCAGAUUGUAACGUCCGUGGCGACCGCGCUCCCAGCCGUAAAGCCCUGAGGUCCUCGCGACUUCUACUUCUAAAGGUUGACCUCGGAUCAGGUAGGGAUACCCGCUGAACUUAA
rnacentral:misc_RNA from 1 species